rnacentral:rRNA from 1 species
UACGUAGGGGGCGAGCGUUGUCCGGAAUUAUUGGGCGUAAAGAGCGUGUAGGCGGUUCGGUAAGUCUGCCGUGAAACCUGGGGCUCAACCCCGGCGUGCGGUGGAUACUGCCGGGCUAGAGGGUGGUAGAGGCGAGUGAAAUUCCCGGUGUAGCGGUGAAAUGCGUAGAUAUCGGGAAGAACACCAGUGGCGAAGGCGCUCUACUGGGCCACAACUGACGCUGAGGGACGAAAGCUAGGGGAGCGAAAGGG